GUGAUGUGAUGAACCUUAUCAACACAUCAUUCUUACAUUUUAAUAUGAAGACGACUUUUAUAUCUGAUCACA